GUUCAAGUGACUCUAAGAGUCACUUGAACAGACUGCUAGGGAAGGAAGUCAUCAGGAGGAAAUCUGGACAUAGUUAGGAAAUGUGGAAGCAGUAAGAAGAUGCUGCUGGCGGAGCCUUGUCCUCACAAAGGACUUUGAUCGUCUCCAUAUCAGAAAUGCAGUGUGUGUGUGUGUGUGUGUGUGUUUAUGUAUUUAUCUACAUUCUUAGGUCAAUCGAACUUCAGAUGUGCAGAAAGAGUGCUCCGUUUGGAAGAAGUUCAACCUGACUUCUGAAUUCUGAGAUCACACUGCACAGCGUACAAGAUCAUCUUCCCUCAGCAGCCCCUCCUUCCUGCCUGAAUCCCUGGGAUAAGCCUUCUUGCUGCCACAACGAAAUAUCACAUACUAGGUGCUUUAAGUAGCAAAAAAUACCUUCUCUCACC
rnacentral:lncRNA from 1 species